CAGAUAAUAGUUUAGCAGAUGAAUGAGGGCUUUGGGGGCUUUAGGCGGGAGAUUUUCUUAUCUGA
rnacentral:tRNA from 1 species